rnacentral:rRNA from 1 species
AGUCGAACGGUGAACACGGAGCUUGCUCUGUGGGAUCAGUGGCGAACGGGUGAGUAACACGUGAGCAACCUGCCCCUGACUCUGGGAUAAGCGCUGGAAACGGCGUCUAAUACUGGAUAUGUGACGUGACCGCAUGGUCUGCGUCUGGAAAGAAUUUCGGUUGGGGAUGGGCUCGCGGCCUAUCAGCUUGUUGGUGAGGUAAUGGCUCACCAAGGCGUCGACGGGUAGCCGGCCUGAGAGGGUGACCGGCCACACUGGGACUGAGACACGGCCCAGACUCCUACGGGAGGCAGCAGUGGGGAAUAUUGCACAAUGGGCGCAAGCCUGAUGCAGCAACGCCGCGUGAGGGACGACGGCCUUCGGGUUGUAAACCUCUUUUAGCAGGGAAGAAGCGAAAGUGACGGUACCUGCAGAAAAAGCGCCGGCUAACUACGUGCCAGCAGCCGCGGUAAUACGUAGGGCGCAAGCGUUAUCCGGAAUUAUUGGGCGUAAAGAGCUCGUAGGCGGUUUGUCGCGUCUGCUGUGAAAUCCGGAGGCUCAACCUCCGGCCUGCAGUGGGUACGGGCAGACUAGAGUGCGGUAGGGGAGAUUGGAAUUCCUGGUGUAGCGGUGGAAUGCGCAGAUAUCAGGAGGAACACCGAUGGCGAAGGCAGAUCUCUGGGCCGUAACUGACGCUGAGGAGCGAAAGGGUGGGGAGCAAACAGGCUUAGAUACCCUGGUAGUCCACCCCGUAAACGUUGGGAACUAGUUGUGGGGUCCAUUCCACGGAUUCCGUGACGCAGCUAACGCAUUAAGUUCCCCGCCUGGGGAGUACGGCCGCAAGGCUAAAACUCAAAGGAAUUGACGGGGACCCGCACAAGCGGCGGAGCAUGCGGAUUAAUUCGAUGCAACGCGAAGAACCUUACCAAGGCUUGACAUAUACGAGAACGGGCCAGAAAUGGUCAACUCUUUGGACACUCGUAAACAGGUGGUGCAUGGUUGUCGUCAGCUCGUGUCGUGAGAUGUUGGGUUAAGUCCCGCAACGAGCGCAACCCUCGUUCUAUGUUGCCAGCACGUAAUGGUGGGAACUCAUGGGAUACUGCCGGGGUCAACUCGGAGGAAGGUGGGGAUGACGUCAAAUCAUCAUGCCCCUUAUGUCUUGGGCUUCACGCAUGCUACAAUGGCCGGUACAAAGGGCUGCAAUACCGCGAGGUGGAGCGAAUCCCAAAAAGCCGGUCCCAGUUCGGAUUGAGGUCUGCAACUCGACCUCAUGAAGUCGGAGUCGCUAGUAAUCGCAGAUCAGCA